rnacentral:rRNA from 1 species
GGGUUGUGAGGUUAAGCGACUAAGCGUACACGGUGGAUGCCCUGGCAGUCAGAGGCGAUGAAGGGCGUGCUAAUCUGCGAUAAGCGCCGGUAAGGUGAUAUGAACCGUUAUAACCGGCGAUACCCGAAUGGGGAAACCCAGUGUGACUCGUCACACUAUCAUUAACUGAAUCCAUAGGUUAAUGAGGCGAACCGGGGGAACUGAAACAUCUAAGUACCCCGAGGAAAAGAAAUCAACCGAGAUUCCCCCAGUAGCGGCGAGCGAACGGGGAGGAGCCCAGAGCCUGAAUCAGCAUAUGUGUUAGUGGAAGCGUCUGGAAAGGCGCGCGAUACAGGGUGACAGCCCCGUACACAAAAGCGCAUGUGCUGUGAGCUCGAUGAGUAGGGCGGGACACGUGGUAUCCUGUCUGAAUAUGGGGGGACCAUCCUCCAAGGCUAAAUACUCCUGACUGACCGAUAGUGAACCAGUACCGUGAGGGAAAGGCGAAAAGAACCCCGGCGAGGGGAGUGAAAAAGAACCUGAAACCGUGUACGUACAAGCAGUGGGAGCACAGGUUUACCUGUGUGACUGCGUACCUUUUGUAUAAUGGGUCAGCGACUUAUAUUCUGUAGCAAGGUUAACCGAAUAGGGGAGCCGGAGGGAAACCGAGUCUUAAUUGGGCGUUAAGUUGCAGGGUAUAGACCCGAAACCCGGUGAUCUAGCCAUGGGCAGGUUGAAGGUUGGGUAACACUAACUGGAGGACCGAACCGACUAAUGUUGAAAAAUUAGCGGAUGACCUGUGGCUGGGGGUGAAAGGCCAAUCAAACCGGGAGAUAGCUGGUUCUCCCCGAAAGCUAUUUAGGUAGCGCCUCGUGAAUUCAUCUCCGGGGGUAGAGCACUGUUUCGGCUAGGGGGCCAUCCCGGCUUACCAACCCGAUGCAAACUGCGAAUACCGGAGAAUGUUAUCACGGGAGACACACGGCGGGUGCUAACGUCCGUCGUGAAGAGGGAAACAACCCAGACCGCCAGCUAAGGUCCCAAAGUCAUGGUUAAGUGGGAAACGAUGUGGGAAGGCCCAGACAGCCAGGAUGUUGGCUUAGAAGCAGCCAUCAUUUAAAGAAAGCGUAAUAGCUCACUGGUCGAGUCGGCCUGCGCGGAAGAUGUAACGGGGCUAAACCAUGCACCGAAGCUGCGGCAGCGACGCUUAUGCGUUGUUGGGUAGGGGAGCGUUCUGUA